GGCAACGAUGAUAACAAACUAGUUGCACUGCUGAGUUCCCAUCACCAAAAUACAAUGCAAAUGUCAAACCAUGAGAGCUCUUCUGAUUCGUUAACUUGUUGUAAAGCUACAUACAAUCAGUCUCUUUAGCGCUGAAGAACAUCGGAAAGCUCAGGAUUCAACUUCCAGGUUUGUGACAUUCUGCCAUGUACCACGAAAAAGUCAGAGCAGAUUACAUCAAUUAUGUGGAAAAUGUAAAUCAAUGGUACGAGUAUUUCAAAGAAAUAAGCAAACCUCGUUCUUAUGAAAUGCUUCUGGAAUGGAAAACCUUAGCUUAUGAUUUUCAGUCAAUUGUUCAACUUUUCGAUCCAUAUAAUUGUUGCAAGAGCAGACUUUGACUUCAGAACUUGAUUCAAGUGCAACGUAAGGAGAGACGUUAAAAUGUCAGCAUGGUAGACAUUCUAGUGCCUGGCUGCCUCAUCGCAACAAGGGACACGCCUCAAAUGAUACAACUGUGUCCGCCUGAAUUUCGUUCUGAUUUCGGUUCUGAUGAAGUC